rnacentral:rRNA from 1 species
AGUGAACGCUGGCGGUAGGCCUAACACAUGCAAGUCGAACGGCAGCACAGUAAGAGCUUGCUCUUACGGGUGGCGAGUGGCGGACGGGUGAGGAAUACAUCGGAAUCUACUUUUUCGUGGGGGAUAACGUAGGGAAACUUACGCUGAUACCGCAUACGACCUACGGGUGAAAGCAGGGGAUCUUCGGACCUUGCGCGAUUGAAUGAGCCGAUGUCGGAUUAGCUAGUUGGCGGGGUAAAGGCCCACCAAGGCGAUGAUCCGUAGCUGGUCUGAGAGGAUGAUCAGCCACACUGGAACUGAGACACGGUCCAGACUCCUACGGGAGGCAGCAGUGGGGAAUAUUGGACAAUGGGCGCAAGCCUGAUCCAGCCAUACCGCGUGGGUGAAGAAGGCCUUCGGGUUGUAAAGCCCUUUUGUUGGGAAAGAAAAGCAGCAGGUUAAUACCCCGCUGUUCUGACGGUACCCAAAGAAUAAGCACCGGCUAACUUCGUG